AUAAAGUUCAAAAGCUAGCGGUAUCUGUAAAAUACCAUGACCAUUAACAACCAGCAGCUAGGAAACACAUGCUCCAAAACUACCACCAUCAGACAGUGACAGACCCUGAACACACCCACUCCUCAUCAUCUAACUCUCAAGACGAGCAAAGGAGCUACCAGUCAGAGAUAGAUGAGGGGGACGUACAGCCAGAGGAAACAGACACACAACACCUAACAGAGAUGUCUGGUGGUCCCCUCUCCUGCUUCUCCAAACAGGGAAUACUCCUACUCUCUAUCCUCCACUAUGGGAUCUGGGCUGAAGUCACAAAGGAGAAGUAUGGAUUGAAGGGGGGUUCGGUGUGCCUGCCUGUAGAAGAACCACCGGAGGAGCUUGCAAGCCAAAGUUGGAAGGUCAAUAGUACCAUAAUAGUUGCUGACAAAAUGGUCUCUCCUAAAUACAUGGAGAAAGUGGAAUAUAAUCCAGUGAACCACUCUCUGUGCAUUAAGAAUCUGA